AAUGUCAUCAUGAUGGCAGAAACUAGAAAUUAUAUAUUUUAGUUGAAUUGUGGUUCUGGACCUUUCUUUAUUCUUUCCACACAUUAUAUUCUCAAACUUUCUCCUCCAAGACUCCAAGUAUAUAGAUGCCAGCCUAUAACACCUCAAAAACUAAACAAUACCUACCUUCCAAUACCCUCUAAGUGACUAUCUCUCUGUGGUGUUGUAUUUUUGGUUUGCAUUUCAGAGAUGAAUGAUCCCAAAUAUGGCUAUCCAUAUGCCAAUCAAGGCCCUUAUCAAGGACCACCAGUGGCGGCACCUCCUCAGUACUAUGCAGCUCCACCACCACCUAGGCGAGAACCAAGUUUUCUUGAGGGAUGCCUUGCAGCUUUAUGUUGUUGUUGCCUCUUAGAUGAGUGUUGCUGUGACCCAUCCAUUAUAUUUGUUACCUAAUACUUUGUAUACUACAUGUAGAACUAUAUUACCUUGUAUAUGUGAAAGGGUCUUAUAUAUAUAUUCCUCUGUAAUAUACUUAAUACAUAUUCUGAUCAGUUCUAAUGCC